UUGUUGCGGUUAAAAAGCUCGUAGUUGGAUUUCUGUUGAGGACGACCGGUCCGCACUAUGUGCGUGUAUCUGGUUCGGCCUUGGCAUCCUCCAGGGGAACAGUGCUGCGCUUGAUUGCGUGGUCUGGUAUUCUGGACUUUUACUUUGAGGAAAUUAGAGUGUUUACGGCAGGCAAUCGCCUUGAAUAUAUUAGCAUGGAAUAAUAAUAUAGGACCUUGGGUCUAUUGUUGGUUUCUAGAUCUAAGGUAAUGAUUAAUAGGGAUAAUUGGGGGCAUUCGUAUUAACACGUCAGAGGUGAAAUUCUUGGAUUGUGUUACGACGAACUACUGCGAAAGCAUUUGCCAAGGAUGUUUUCAUUGAUCAGAACGAAAGUGCGGGGAUCGAAGACGAUUAGAUACCGUCGUAGUCUGCACCAUAAACUAUGCCAACUA
rnacentral:rRNA from 1 species